AUUGAACGCUGGCGGCAGGCCUAACACAUGCAAGUCGAACGAGUGGCGGACGGGUGAGUAAUGUAUGGGAAACUGCCUGAUGGAGGGGGUAAACUAUUGAAAACGGUAGCUAAACCCGCAUACCAUCAGAUGUGCCCAGAUGGGAUUAGCUUGGUGGGGGGGUAACGGUUCACCAAGGCGACGAGCCGUAGCUGGUCCGAGAGGAGGACCAGCCACACUGGAACUGAGACACGUGCCAGACUCCUACGGGAGGCAGCAGUGGGGAAGAUGGCACAAUGGGCGCAGGCCUGAUGCAGCCAUGCCGCGUGUGUGAAGAAGGUCUUCGGAUUGUAAAGCACUUUAAGCUGGUGGGCGUUACCAACAGAAUAAGCACCGGCUAACUUCGUGCCAGCCGCCGCGGUAAUAC
rnacentral:rRNA from 1 species